CAGCCGCCGCGGGAAUACGGAGGGAGCUAGCGUUGUUCGGAAUUACUGGGCGUAAAGCGCACGUAGGCGGCUUUGUAAGUCAGAGGUGAAAGCCUGGAGCUCAACUCCAGAACUGCCUUUGAGACUGCAUCGCUUGAAUCCAGGAGAGGUGAGUGGAAUUCCGAGUGUAGAGGUGAAAUUCGUAGAUAUUCGGAAGAACACCAGUGGCGAAGGCGGCUCACUGGCCCGGUACUGACGCUGAGGCGCGAAAGCGUGGGGAGCAAACAGGAUUAGAUACCCGCGUAGUCCCUGUCUCUUAUAC
rnacentral:rRNA from 1 species